rnacentral:rRNA from 1 species
AACCUAGAUGUAUAUUUACAUACGCAUCCGCCCGGGUACUACGAGCACAGCUUAAAACCCAAAGGACUUGGCGGUGUCUCAGACCCACCUAGAGGAGCCUGUUCUAGAACCGAUAACCCCCGUUAAACCUCACCACUUCUUGUUUUCCCCGCCUAUAUACCGCCGUCGUCAGCUUACCCUGUGAAGGCCUAGCAGUAAGCAAAAUGGGCUCGCCCAAAAACGUCAGGUCGAGGUGUAGCGCACGAAGUGGGAAGAAAUGGGCUACAUUUUCUACAACAGAAUAUUACGAACGGCACCCUGAAAUAUAGUGCCCGAAGGUGGAUUUAGUAGUAAAAAGCAAAUAGAGCGUCCUUUUGAAUUAGGCUCUGAGACGCGCACACACCGCCCGUCACCCUCUGCAUAUAUUAAACUCAAACCCAACAUUUCUAAUUAGACAUCUUCUAGCACGGGGAGGCAAGUCGUAACAUGGUAAGUGUACCGGAAGGUGCACUUGGAAUAAUC